rnacentral:rRNA from 1 species
UACGAAGGGGGCUAGCGUUGUUCGGAUUUACUGGGCGUAAAGCGCACGUAGGCGGAUCGUUAAGUCGGGGGUGAAAUCCUGGAGCUCAACUCCAGAACUGCCUUCGAUACUGAGGAUCUUGAGUACGGGAGAGGUGAGUGGAACUGCGAGUGUAGAGGUGAAAUUCGUAGAUAUUCGGAAGAACACCAGUGGCGAAGGCGACUCACUGGACACGUAUUGACGCUGAGGUGCGAAAGCGUGGGGAGCAAACAGG